CCUACGUGUGGCAGCAGUGGGGAAUAUUGGACAAUGGGCGAAAGCCUGAUCUAGCCAUGCCGCGUGUGUGAAGAAGGCCUUCGGGUUGUAAAGCACUUUCAGUGGGGAAGAAAGCCUUGGGGCUAAUACCCUCGAGGAAGGACAUCACCCACAGAAGAAGCACCGGCUAACUCCGUGCCAGCAGCCGCGGUAAUACGGAGGGUGCGAGCGUUAAUCGGAAUUACUGGGCGUAAAGCGCGCGUAGGCGGUCUGAUAAGCCGGUUGUGAAAGCCCCGGGCUCAACCUGGGAACGGCAUCCGGAACUGUCAGGCUAGAGUGCAGGAGAGGAAGGUAGAAUUCCCGGUGUAGCGGUGAAAUGCGUAGAGAUCGGGAGGAAUACCAGUGGCGAAGGCGGCCUUCUGGACUGACACUGACGCUGAGGUGCGAAAGCGUGGGUAGCAAACAGGAUUAGAUACCCUAGUAGUC
rnacentral:rRNA from 1 species